GAUGAACGCUGACAGAAUGCUUAACACAUGCAAGUCAACUGUGGCGGACGGGUGAGUAACGCGUAAAGAACUUGCCUCACAGAUAGGGACAACAUUUGGAAACGAAUGCUAAUACCUGAUACUGUGAGAGAGCUUUGCGUCCCAUUAGCUAGUUGGAGAGGUAACGGCUCACCAAGGCGAUGAUGGUUAGCCGGCCUGAGCGGGUGAUCGGCCACAAGGGGACGGAGACACGGCACUUACUCCUACGGGAGGCAGGAGUGGGGAAUAUUGGACAAUGGACCAAAGUCUUAACCAGCCAAGUAGCGUGCAGGAUGACGGCCUAUGGGUUGUAAACUGCUUUUAUAUGGGGAUACGUGUUCCCUUUUGAAGGUACCAUAUGAAUAAGGACCGGCUAAUUCCGUGCCAGCAGCCGCGGUAAUUC
rnacentral:rRNA from 1 species